rnacentral:lncRNA from 1 species
ACGUACUCGAUAAACCAACAACGUAUAAUAGCAAGCCUGCCAGCGAGACAGCCGAUCAACUAAGCGAUCACUCAGCCAACUACUACAUACAUACAGUACGAUCCAUUCAAGUGGCAGGUGAUGUGUAGGGGGAAGCGCACCUUAUAAAUACCGGCACUGUUGUUCUGUGCGCUCAGUUUAUAUUGAACGGUGCUAUAGAGAACAACUCAUAUAAAACUAACGAAAAAGCUGAUAAAGCGACGAAACACUAAACAUAGAUUUCAAAACAUUCGAGAAACAACAUACAUACAUAUUGCAGAAAGAAAAGAAAAUACAUACAAAUUUUAUAGAGACUUUGAUUUUGGUGUAACAUUUCACUUUUGGGUGGAAACUACAAAGCAAAAAAUGUUGCGAGGUAGCGUUUUAUUGCUAACACUACUAGCCAUAUUCGGCUAUCUACAGGCGUUGCCAUACUAUGGAGA